GCGGGGGUAGCCAAGUAGGUCAACGGCGCCGGACUCAAGAUCCGGUCCCGCAGGGGUUCGGGGGUUCGAAUCCCUCCCCCCGCA
rnacentral:tRNA from 1 species